rnacentral:rRNA from 1 species
CCUACGGGAGGCAGCAGUGGGGGAUAUUGCACAAUGGGGGGAACCCUGAUGCAGCGACGCCGCGUGGGUGAAGAAGGGCCUCGGCGCGUAAAGCCCUGUCAGCAGGGAAGAAAAGGACGGUACCUGCAAACGAAGCACCGGAUAACUCCGUGCCAGCAGCCGCGGUAAUACUGAGGGUGCGAGCGUUAAUCGGAAUGACUGGGCGUAAAGGGCUAGUAGGGGGUAUGUCAAGUCAAGGGUGAAAUCCCCGCGCUCAACGUGGGAACUGCCUUUGAAACUGGCAAACUGGAGUGUGUGAGAGGAUAGUGGAAUUCCAGGUGUAGGGGUGAAAUCCGUAGAUAUCUGGAGGAACAUCAGUGGCGAAGGCGACUAUCUGGCACAUAACUGACGCUGAGGAGCGAAAGCGUGGGUAGCAAACAGGAUUAGAUACCCGAGUAGUC